AAUGAACGCUGGCGGCAGGCUUAACACAUGCAAGUCGAGCGAGCGGCGGACGGGUGAGUAAUGUCUGGGAAACUGCCUGGUGGAGGGGGAUGAAUACUGGAAACGGUAGCUAAUACCGCAUACCAUACGAUUUGCCCAGAUUGGAUUAGCUAGUAGGGGGGGUAAUGGCUCACCUAGGCGACGAUCCCUAUCUGGUUUGAGAGGAUGACCAGCCACACUGGAACGAAGACACGGUCCAGCCGCCUACGGGAGACAGCAGUGGGGAAUAUUGCACAAUGGGGGCAAGCCUGAUGCAGACAUGCCGCGUGUGUGAAGAGGGCCUUCGGGUUUUAAAGCACGUUCAGCGAGAAGGCGUUACUCGCAGAAGAAGCACCGGCUAACUCCGUGCCAGCAGCCGCGGUAAUAC
rnacentral:rRNA from 1 species